rfam:Zygosaccharomyces rouxii strain CBS732 chromosome G complete sequence.
GGGCACAUGGCGCAGUUGGUAGCGCGUCUCCCUUGCAAGGAGAAGGUCAUCGGUUCGAAUCCGGUUGUGUCCA